CCUACGGGCGGCAGCAGUGGGGGAUAUUGCACAAUGGGGGAAACCCUGAUGCAGCGACGCCGCGUGUGGGAAGACGGUCCUCUGGAUUGUAAACCACUGUCCCCAGGGACGAAAAUGACGGUACCUGACUAAGAAGCCCCGGCUAACUACGUGCCAGCAGCCGCGGUAAUACGUAGGGGGCAAGCGUUAUCCGGAUUUACUGGGUGUAAAGGGAGCGUAGACGGCAGAGCAAGUCUGAAGUGAAAGCCCGCGGCCCAACUGCGGGACUGCUUUGGAAACUGCCCGGCUAGAGUGCUGGAGAGGUAAGCGGAAUUCCUAGUGUAGCGGUGAAAUGCGUAGAUAUUAGGAGGAACACCAGUGGCGAAGGCGGCUUACUGGACAGUAACUGACGUUGAGGCUCGAAAGCGUGGGGAGCAAACAGGAUUAGAUACCCCAGUAGUC
rnacentral:rRNA from 1 species